AGGAGAGUUUGAUCCUGGCUCAGAACGAACGCCGGCGGCGCGUCUUAAGCAUGCAAGUCGGGCGGGAUUCCAGUGCUUGCACUGGAUGAGAGCGGCGGACUGGCGAGGAACGCGUGGGCGACGUGCCCCCCGCACCGGGACAGCCGGCAGAAAUGCCGGGUGAUACGGGAUGCGGUCGCAACCUGUGGUGGGUUGCGAGGAAAGCUGCCACGGCAGCGGCGGGGGAGCGGCCCGCGUCCCAUCAGCUAGUAGGCGGGGCAAAGGCCCACCUAGGCGACGACGGGUACCCGGACUGAGAGGUCGGACGGGCGCAUUGGGACUGAGAUACGGCCCAGACUCCUACGGGAGGCAGCAGCUAAGAAUAUUCCGCAAUGGGCGAAAGCCUGACGGAGCGACGCCGCGUGGACGAUGGAGGCCGGAAGGUUGUAAAGUCCUCUGGCGGGGGAAGAAAAACUGUCGCAGGGAAUGGCGGCAGUAUGACCGUACCCCGAGAACAAGCACCGGCUAAUUACGUGCCAGCAGCCGCGGUAACACGUAAGGUGCGAGCGUUGUUCGGAAUCAUUGGGCGUAAAGGGCGCGUAGGCGGCCUUACAAGCGGGGUGUGAAAGGCGGGGGCCCAACCCCCGGACUGCGCCCCGAACUGCAGGGCUAGAGUCGCCGUGGCGCCGGGGGAAUUCCGGGUGUAGGGGUGAAAUCUGUAGAUAUCCGGAAGAACACCGGUGGCGAAGGCGUCCGGCGAGCGGACGACUGACGCUGAGGCGCGAAGGUGCGGGGAGCGAACAGGAUUAGAUACCCUGGUAGUCCCCU
rnacentral:rRNA from 1 species